UUUCGUCCAUUUCGUCUAAGCUUCUUCUUCUGUAGUGCUUCUCUGCUCGAUGGAAGAGCAACACACUGUACACACACAACGCCGGAGCUUCGGCGACGUCGUUACCGGCGGCACGACCUCACGCUCGCGGACUCCUCAUGGCGUAUGGAAUCAUCCUCCGGUUCUGCUUUACGAUUCGCCGCUAGGGUCGACGCAGACGCAGACGCAUCCGCACUUGGCGGAUUUAUGGUUCGGUUCCCUGUCUCCGACACCCAACCCUAAUCACCAGCUUCCGAGCCCUCUCGAUCUCGGCGAAUGGAACUACCUGAGUUUACCUUUUCGGAUUCGACAACCAUGGCAUCUGUCUCCACUUCGUUCUUCAUCUCAAGUGCUUCAAUGACCAUUCUGGUCACUUUUUGUUCUUUGUUUUUACUCUACCAGUGAUUUCGUUUUCCUGCAUGAUAUUUUGGCAUGAACAAGAAUUCCUGUUUUUUCUGACGGAUCAUUGCAAUUCAACAAUAGCCUUUCAGAAUUUCGCCAUCAAUUCUUUGAACAAAUGCAUGAGGCAAGUGCAAGGUCUUGUUUGCCUCUACCUGUCACACGAUCCAAGACUGAACACACUACUUUCUUUAACUUUCCCAUUUGUUGUUGAUCAAUUUCAGUACGGUGGAUCCAUUACUUUAAACGCAAGGCGUCUACUGUUUUAUAUCUCCGAAUUUUCUUCUGUUGCUCUUUGCAAACGCCAGAAGCUUUGCCGUGAACUCACAAAAGACCAACUUGAGCUGCAUCUGUAGGUCUGCAUCUGGAGAACUAUUGGAUUUGUGAUUUGUGUCGUCGGUUUUCCAUGAUGCAAUCGUGUUCCUGAACAAUGUUCUUUUCUUGCUUCUCGGAUCAUUCAAGUUGUAAGUUCACUCCAAGGCUAACAAACAAGUUCACUUCAGCAGCAGAAACCAAAAUUCAAGUGAUAAUCACUAAUAUUCAUUUUUUUUGGUGUAAUUCUUUUCAAGAUAAUUUUUUCCUAUGUUCCAAAUGAUUUAAGAUAGAGAUCUUAAACCCUAAUUUUUGUAAAUGGCACUUGUUGACCACCCCAAAGCAAAACCUUGUAUUUUACACAUAUCAGUGAAAUUGUUACUUCUGAUUUCUACA